GACGAACGCUGGCGGCGUGCCUAAUACAUGCAAGUAGAACGCUGAAGAGAGGAGCUUGCUCUUCUUGGAUGAGUUGCGAACGGGUGAGUAACGCGUAGGUAACCUGCCUGGUAGCGGGGGAUAACUAUUGGAAACGAUAGCUAAUACCGCAUGAUAUUAAUUGUCGCAUGAUAAUUAAUUGAAAGAUGCAAUUGCAUCACUACCAGAUGGACCUGCGUUGUAUUAGCUAGUUGGUGAGGUAACGGCUCACCAAGGCGACGAUACAUAGCCGACCUGAGAGGGUGAUCGGCCACACUGGGACUGAGACACGGCCCAGACUCCUACGGGAGGCAGCAGUAGGGAAUCUUCGGCAAUGGGGGGAACCCUGACCGAGCAACGCCGCGUGAGUGAAGAAGGUUUUCGGACCGUAAAGCUCUGUUGUAAGAGAAGAACAGGGUGUGAG
rnacentral:rRNA from 1 species